CCUUCUUUCCUCCAUGGAUUGAGCAGAUUUUUUCAAAACCUCCCCCCAGGCUGCGGCGGUCCCUCCUACCCGGCGCCGAUCCGCCCUCCCUCCUCCCUGCUCGCCGCCGCUGCGGAGCUUGGCGGAUCUUGGCGGCGGCGCACGAGCUCUCCAGCCUGGACCUCAGCGGAUCUCGGCGCCGGCGUUCAAGCUCUCUGGCGGUCUGGCCUCGAGCUCGGCGGAUCUCAUCGGCAGCGGUCGAGGUCUCCGGCCUGGAGCUCGGCGGACCUUGGCGGUGCAGCUCGGCACGGCUUGGCAACGGUCCCGCCUGCCGCCUCCCUCCUCGGCGCCUCCCUCUCAAGAACCGCCCCGCCGGCCAUGCCGCAAGCUGGUUCCAGCGCUCCUCCGGCCACGCCCUUCUCCUCCCCCGCUCUCCUCGGCCUCGCGCCAUCGUACAGCCUCCGUCCGCCCCCUGCUCUCCACGGCCUGGCGCCAGCGUGCAGCCUCCGUCCACCCCCUGCUCUACAUCUCCGAGUCCCUCUACUCCUAUGUAUCCCUCGGCAGCGCACUACAUAUUCGACUCCCUCGCAACCUCCAAGAACGCUGCUGCCGCCGCCGACAUGACCCGCAUCCUCUCUCCGGUUUCGACAACCUCCUCUCCUCCAUCGUCAAUGACCAUCUCUUCCCCUCCCCGGACGUCCCCUCCUGCUCUGGCUCCGGCUCCUCCUCGGGUCCUCUGUUUGCGAGAUCCCCGCCACCGCCGCCUUCGACGCUACGGACCGGGUCAUCCAGCUCUGGGACGCCACCACGGAGGCGCUCCUCUUCGUGGCCCCUGGAGGACGAUGUUCUGCAGUACCUCAUCGCGGUCAAGGCCGGCAGCGCGUGCGCAGGCGUCGCCAUGUAGCUCGCCAUGGCACAACUCGACUAGGAGCUCCGUCACCUCAUGGCUAUUGUGCAGGUUCGUUGGUCCUUGCCCGCUUGUUUCGUUUCCCCAUGACAGCAUAGAUUCGCAGUUCUAGCAAUUGUUCUCUGACCAUCUCUUGUUUUGCUUUCUUGCUUUUCCUCAUACCUCUUGUCUUGCGUGUUGUGUUUGUCAUUUUAAGAGAUCCAUUUUCAAGAAUUGCAAACUGCACAAUGCAUAUUAUUGCUUUCAUGUAGAAAACUCAAGAAGAUCAAGCUGACUGAAUUGCAGGUUCGCAACUGGCUCCAUGUUCAUUUGUAGUAAGGAGUGUUCCUUUUUUUAUGCAUAGCAUUAUUAGACUCCAAUUUAUAAAAUUUAGUCCCACGUGAUGCUUAUUGCUUAGGCAUUUACUUUCUUAGAAGAAGAUCUGCUAGGUCUGAUGCCAUUGUUAUUUUUUCCAAAGAAUUAACCACCUAUUGGCUAGGAGGAAAAGGGAAUUAGCAAAAAAAAAAACUUGGAACUGCUUCCAAGUGGAAAUUGACUUGGUAGAAGUGCUACUAUAAUUAGAAACCAUCCAUAUAAUGAGGUAUCCAGGGCCCAACCUCUAAUACAUUUGACUCAAGUACGGUCGCAACAAAAUGCAUUCACAGGUUACUUCACGGAAGUGAGCUUGUUCUUUUACUGAUAUAGGUAAUUUGGUUCCAGAUGUGCUACUGAUGGCACAUAAAUAAGUGGUAAGGAUCCGGUAAUUCAAAGCUACUACCCCUUAUUCAGAGCCUCAAUGUAAGUCUGGGGUUCAACAUAUGUAAAUAUUUAUUCCUCGGGUUAACAUGCUUAUUGUAACUCCUGAUAAUGCAAUGUGCAAGCAUACCCAGAUAUAUAUUGCACUGGCAUAAUUCAGAACACAGGACUUCAUAUGUAAAUUACCAAUCAGUUGUAAACUUUCUGUCUGGUUUGAUCAAGCUGUUAUGAAUUUAAUUCCUUCUCUUUUGUCUGCUUUGGGUUAGCCUGGGAAGUCGAACUGCUGAUGAGAAGAACUAUUUUGACAGCCAUCUCGCACCAUUUUAUAGGAUUGAGAAAGUAUUUUCAACUCUUGUAUCUUUCUAUUAUAAAUUGUAUUUGCUGAAUUCCUGCCAUAUAAAACAGUUCUUUUUCUACGGUUGUCUUCACUCUUGAUGUCUUAAUUCUGGCUUAUUUGUCCAAUUACCCUGUUUUCCAACAAAGAUGAAUAUUCUUUUUUUCAACAAAUAAAGAUGAAUACUCUGAAAAGUCAAUUAUGUCGUCAGUUGUUGUUCUUAAUGCAGCUUGUGUUAGCCACUUCUGCAUCUGGUGGAUCUGCAGCUCCUUUGAUUGUAAAUAAAUGAUAACAAUAUAAAAUUACUUUUCUAGAUUUAGAAAAAGGUAGGAAAUUUUCAUGAUAACGUAAAUCUUGAAACUGCAUCUACCAUAUGGUUCUCAUGUUUCUUCUAAUCGUAAAGGUUGACGAUCUACGUGCAAAUUAUUCUAGGCCAACAGUGGCCCUUGCUGACAUUACAGAUUGUGCUACUCAAAGUGUUUUGCAGGUGAUUGUUCUACGGUACCUAUAAUAUAAUUUCUGUUUUGAAAUUAACAUGGUUUCUGAAGAAUAGACCAAUGUUUUACAUUCUUGUGUUGUGCUUAAUAUGGUUUAUACAAACUACUGUACAAAUGAUUAUUUCAAUGCUCAAUGCUGCAGUAUUGCCAGCUAGAUCCUAAAAAAUAUGAUGGUUCGGGGAUAGACCAUGCUAAUUUUGUUUUCAGGUAAUCUCUACGGUUGAAGUAUCCUAUCAAUCCAUAUUUUCAGAUAGUAUUCUAGCAACUUCACUAAAAUUGGAGAUUGGGUUGAAUUAUGUUGUCAUACUUAUCGGAACAUGGAUUCUAUAAUAUAUGAAAAGGUUGGAUAAUCAUAUGUCUAUUGAAAAUGCUACCAGUUGCAUUUUUUGUUCCAUUGCCGAAUAUAAUCGACCUUUUAUACGUGCCUAUUACAUAGGUUAGCAUAUAUUAACUGACUUAUUAUCAGAGUUUUUUUAGACCAUUUAUGAUCAUUGUUGAGUUGUUCGCUGCUUGUCUUUUCAUUUGUGAAACUGUUCAAAUUGCAACUUUGGAGAUAAUGUCUUUCCAUAGGUGAGGUUCGUGAAGCCUGUUUCAACAAUGCUCUUUCAAUGAUACUAUACUACAAGAUGACUGAAUAUUCACCAAACAUUCAAGAAGUCGAUGCAGCUUGGUCCCUUUUGUUCGUAACAUCUGAAUCUUCAUCAAAUAGUCAUGACAAUGGAAUGUCUAGGGACUCAUGCGAGGAAAUGCGUGCAUGCCUCAAUUUGAGCUUUAAGGAGAUGCCAAUAAUGGAUGGUUGUUUACUAGAGAUGUAACUUUGUAGAGCUAAUGAUAUUAUAUCAUAUAUUACUAAAAUGACUGCAAGGGCGCGCCAAGAUAUGCGCCAAUCUGCAGUAAUUCAUCUCACAAUGAAGAACGGGAACAACAAAAAGACUCCGACAUGGUCAGACAAUGCUAUAGAGCUAUAUUUUAAGAAGAUGAAAGAAGAAUCAAUAAUCCACCCACCUUUCAUGGCUUUGCAUACUCUGGAGAAACUUCAGAUGAGGACGACCCCAAUGAUGUCUACUAUUAUGCAGCCCAUCCAAAAGUAUGACAAGACAUCGAGACCUUCCCAUCUGAAGCAAGUGGAAAAAGCAAGAUCAUUUCCAAGACCCCAACUUAUCUCCUAUUUUUACGCUGUUGUGGCCUAUCUGGCGGUGCGUGAAUAACAUAUAGAAAUGUUUAUAAAACUAUGAGUUUGUAUAUAGCUAGAUAUCUACAUCUGAACUCGCCGGCCUAUGAAAAUAUUGUGCAUAUUAUUAAAUUAUACUAUCUUAUCAUUA